rnacentral:rRNA from 1 species
GACGAACGCUGGCGGCGUGCUUAACACAUGCAAGUCGAGCGGUAAGGCCUCUUCGGGGGUACACGGGCGGCGAACGGGUGAGUAACACGUGGGUGACCUGCCCUCAGCUCUGGGAUAAGCCUGGGAAACUGGGUCUAAUACCGGAUAUGACCUUUCCUCGCAUGGGGUUUGGUGGAAAGUUUUUUCGGCUUGGGAUGGGCCCGCGGCCUAUCAGCUUGUUGGUGGGGUGAUGGCCUACCAAGGCGACGACGGGUAGCCGGCCUGAGAGGGCGACCGGCCACACUGGGACUGAGACACGGCCCAGACUCCUACGGGAGGCAGCAGUGGGGAAUAGUGCGCAAUGGGCGGAAGCCUGACGCAGCGACGCAGCGUGGGGGAUGACGGCCUGGGGGUUGUAAACCUCUUUCGACCCCGACGAAUUUGGACGGUAGGGGUAGAAGAAGCACCGGCCAACUACGUG